rnacentral:rRNA from 1 species
AUUGAACGCUGGCGGAAUGCUUUACACAUGCAAGUCGAGCGGCAGCGCGGGGGCAACCCUGGCGGCGAGCGGCGAACGGGUGAGUAACAUAUCGGAACGUACCCAGUCGUGGGGGAUAACUAUCCGAAAGGAUAGCUAAUACCGCAUACGUCCUGAGGGAGAAAGCGGGGGAUCGCAAGACCUCGCGCGAUUGGAGCGGCCGAUAUCGGAUUAGCUAGUUGGUGGGGUAAAGGCUCACCAAGGCGACGAUCCGUAGCGGGUCUGAGAGGACGACCCGCCACACUGGAACUGAGACACGGUCCAGACUCCUACGGGAGGCAGCAGUGGGGAAUAUUGGACAAUGGGCGAAAGCCUGAUCCAGCAAUGCCGCGUGAGUGAUGAAGGCCUUAGGGUUGUAAAGCUCUUUUACCAGGGAUGAUAAUGACAGUACCUGGAGAAUAAGCUCCGGCUAACUCCGUGCCAGCAGCCGCGGUAAAGUCGAAUAUCG